rnacentral:tRNA from 1 species
GCCGUGGUGGUGCAGUGGUCAGCACACCCGACCUGGUAUCCUAAUACGCUCGCUUCCUACGCUCGCUUACCUAAGAUCCUAAUUCUCUCUCUCGAGGGUCGGGAGGUCGUUGGUUCGAAUCCAGCCCAUGGUG